rnacentral:lncRNA from 1 species
GAUAUGUCGUUUCCAUGAGAUAUUAUUUGUGAUGUGCACUCCGAGGCAUUUAUAACACGAUACUGCUUCGAGUGGGAUGCUGUUAAGAUGGUAGUUAGAAAAAGAUACUUUGCUACGUGAGAUUCUCAUGAAUUUACAUUUUGAGGUGUUAAGGUUCAUGUGCCAGCGGGAGCACCAGGUUGCAACGUUAUCAAGGUCUGAUUGUAAUGUAACCAUAUCAGAAUCAUUAGUUAUUUUUCGGUAAAUUACGCAAUUGUCGGCAAAUAAACAAACAGAACUAGUGAUUUCAUUAGGCAGGUCGUUAAUAUAAAUGAGGAAGAGUAAAGGUCGCAACAAAGACCCUUGAA